GGGAUCCCUGCCCAGGGCUCUCUCUGCAGACAGCUUCCAUCAGGGGCCGCUCGCUCAAGGACCCGCAGGGACUACAUCAGUAUGAGAAAUGACACAGGCCCAGACAAUGCCAUCACACAGGAUUAUAGACUCGGGAUUCCCAGAUUACCUCACUUUUCUAAAGAUCUCUAUGAUUUAUAUGAACUCUCUCAAUUUUUAAAUACGGGUAAAAAUAAUUUAUUUUUUCCUCUAAUCCUGCAGCCCGAAUAAGAGCCCAGGGUGGGCACAGGCUCUGGGGGCGCUCACCGAGGGGGAGGGGGACAUCCCGGCCCAGCUCCCUGCGUGGCCCCAGCAGCUGGGAGGCGGCUGCGGAAGCCAUGAGGGUAUAGAGUGUUCGUCCACCACCCCCCAAACACAUCCCAUCAAGCAGCUCCCAGCACAAAAUAAACAUGUUUAUCUUCUCCUUGCACAAUGAGGACCGUGAAAACUAAAUCCAUGGGAAGAAAACCAGGAACAAGUAGCAAGUAGGUCCCGAACAGUCGGUGAACGUUUCUAGCAAAUGCAAAAAUGCCAGGUGUCAGUGACACAGCCUGCUCUACGCAGACUCCGGCAGGAAGCAGGGACUCCUCGGGAUGGGGUGGGCAACAAGGAAGUUCACUGAGUCCAGUCAGUGCGGAGGGGGCUUCCAGAAUGAAGCCAUGAGCUGCUCCACAGACCUGCCCUUCGGGGAGACCAUCCUAACUGGUGAAAAGUAGCCUCAAAAUCCCACAACCACCAAACGACUCUGUGUGUUUUCCUAAGAGCAUACAACAAACUGGGAAAACCUUCUUCAAGAAAACCUACUAAGUCUUGGUAAGAAGAAGACUUGCUCCCCGUCCCUGGGCCCAUCGAGAGCUACACUGUGUCACAGGGGUGGGCCACCUGCGUGUCUCCUGCAGAAACUCUACUCCAGAGCAUGGGGAAGCUCAAGUCUAAGAGCACCUGGCUUCUUAGAGAGAUGCAACCCUUCCACCAGCAUCCAGGCAAAGGCACUCAGGAAGAAGUAGUGCAGGAGCACGGCCAGCACCUGGCAGGGGACCUGGGAGCGAAGACACACAAGCGGAC